rnacentral:misc_RNA from 1 species
AAGUCGUAACAAGGUAUCCGUAGGUGAACCUGCGGAUGGAUCAUCAAUGGUUAUUUGGAAAUGGAUGUGAGUGAUUUUAUUAAGAUUGAGUGGUGUUGGUUGGAGUGCCUAGCUGGAUUGCGAAGCAAGCCAGCCAACAUCGCCUCACUUUAAACUCUAUAAAUCUAAACAAUUACAUAUAACAAAAAACAACUUUUAGCAACGGAUCUCUUGGCUCUC